rnacentral:rRNA from 1 species
UACGUAGGGGGCAAGCGUUGUCCGGAUUUAUUGGGCGUAAAGAGCGUGUAGGCGGCCAGACAGGUCCGUUGUGAAAACUCGAGGCUCAACCUCGAGACGCCGAUGGAAACCGUCUGGCUAGAGUCCGGAAGAGGAGAGUGGAAUUCCUGGUGUAGCGGUGAAAUGCGCAGAUAUCAGGAGGAACACCUGUGGCGAAAGCGGCGCACUGGACCAUAACUGACGCUGAUGCGCGAAAGCUAGGGGAGCAAACAGG